rnacentral:lncRNA from 1 species
CUUUUCUUUGAUAACGCAAAAUGGGUUAUUUCAUCAAGGAAUGUGAGGACCCUAAUAGGAAAUGACAACUUGAUAACAGAGGAUAAUAUCACAGCAAGGCUGUGACUAGAUCCAAAAUAUUGAAGAUGGAGGGAAAAGAGCUGUCAAGUGAUUAGAGAGAGAGAGAGAUAAAAAAAGGAAGAAACAUUUGGACAAAACAUGAAAAUCUGCAACAUAUUUAAGCCCUGGAACGUGGAGAUUUCAUAGGUAACAUGGGUGAAAUGAUUUACUUACAUGUUUUACAAAGAACAUAGUGUAAUAAGAGACAAGGGCUUAGUACUGCGGCCUGGGCAACAUUUUAUACACUCAUAGCAUGAUACAGAGGUCUCAGGUCCUGAGUUCCAAAGGUUAAUUCCAAUAAGACAAUUUUACUUGUUAUGAAGCAAUUUAAG